CGGGCAGGAUCUGCGGGCAGAUCAGGUGCACAUGGCAGUCGAUGGCGCCGGCGGUGACGAUCCGCCCCUCCCCGCUGAGGAUUUCGGUGGACGGCCCGACCACCAGCUCCGGAUGCACCCCGGCCAUCGUGUCGGGGUUGCCGGCCUUGCCCAGCGCGACGAUGCGGCCGUCACGGAUGCCGAUGUCGGCCUUGAUGAUUCCCCAGUAGUCGAUGAUGACCGCACCGGUGAUGACGGUGUCGGGCGCCCCCUGGGCCCGGGUGGCCCGGGCCUGGCCCAUCGACUCCCGCAG
rnacentral:sRNA from 1 species